rnacentral:sRNA from 2 species
AUGUACUGCACGUACACACCGGUUCCUCCGCGCCGUCUGCACGCACCUGACGACUGCUUGCCACGUUUUGCCAGCC